GGACGAUGAAGGGGAGAAGGAAAAGGGAGGAAAUACAAAUGGACAGGGAAACACACACCAACAGCAAUCAUUUUGAGUAUUUUUUAUUUUAUUUUUUUCAUAUGUAUUUAUUGUUUGGCCUAA
rnacentral:ribozyme from 14 species